UACGGAGGGGGCUAGCGUUGUUCGGAAUUACUGGGCGUAAAGCGCACGUAGGCGGCUUUGUAAGUUAGAGGUUAAAGCCCGGGGCUCAACUCCGGAAUUGCCUUUAAGACUGCAUCGCUAGAAUUGUGGAGAGGUAAGUGGAAUUCCGAGUGUAGAGGUGAAAUUCGUAGAUAUUCGGAAGAACACCAGUGGCGAAGGCGACUUACUGGACACAUAUUGACGCUGAGGUGCGAAAGCGUGGGGAGCAAACAGG
rnacentral:rRNA from 1 species